GCCUCCGUGGAUCAAGGCAGAUCAUCUGAAUAGUGUGAAUCGCUGAGUACAUGCUUGUUCUUCGGGAGAUGUGGGUUCAACUCCCACCGGAGGCA